rnacentral:tRNA from 2 species
GCGACAGUGGCUCAGUUGGUAGAGUACGACCUUGCCAAGGUCGGGGUCGCGGGUUCGAGCCCCGUCUGUCGCUC